rnacentral:lncRNA from 1 species
ACUAAAGUGAAUGGGCUACGAUUGCCUUAGGAAUAGACACAUGCAGGCGUGAACCACACGCGCACGCACACACACACACACACACACAGCACUUAAGCUACCACUUUUCCAAGAAGGAAUUGAAAUGAGAAAACAGAGCCAGCCCAAAUGCAAAGAAAAUAUAACAACUCAUCUUUGUCACUUCCACCCCUUUUUAGAGCAGUUUUCACUUUUGACGCUAGGUUCUAUUGUUACUUUGGUAGCUUGUUUUGUCUUGUGUAGAAUAAUGCAAAUAUGAGUGUUCCAUCAUGAUCUUUCUAGCAUUCUUCCUUAAGCAGAGCUCCCUUGAGAGUUCUUCAAAGAGAAGUUGAAUGAUUAAUCUGAUUUUGCUUCCCUGGGAUUACUCAUUAGUAAGAUAUUCUUUCAGAUACUGUGUACUGAUGAAACUGCUGACUCAGCUGGUCUGAAGGACCCCACUGGCACUGGCUGGUCUGAAGGACCCUGCUGAUCACAACUUGCCUGAAGGACCCUACUGACAUCAGCUGUUGUCCAAAGGACGCCACAAGAAACUGACUCACCAAAAAAUGCAUCCUGAUGAUUUCAUCCCCCUUAACCCGACCAAUCAACAACCCCAAAUCUACACAGCCCCUUUCCCUCCAUGAUUCCUACAAAACUCCAGCCCAGAACUCCUCAGGGAGAUGGAUUUGAAGGUCUCCUCCCUUCUACUUGCUUGAUGCCCUAUUAUUAUUAAACUCUUUGCUACAAACCCUGC